UGGGGAAUAUUGCACAAUGGGGGAAACCCUGAUGCAGCAACGCCGCGUGAGUGAUGAAGGCCUUCGGGUUGUAAAGCUCUGUCUUUGGGGACGAUAAUGACGGUACCCAAGGAGGAAGCCACGGCUAACUACGUGCCAGCAGCCGCGGUAAUACGUAGGUGGCAAGCGUUGUCCGGAUUUACUGGGCGUAAAGGGAGCGUAGGUGGAUAUUUAAGUGGGAUGUGAAAUCCCCGGGCUUAACCUGGGGGCUGCAUUCCAAACUGGAUGUCUAGAGUGCAGGAGAGGAGAGUGGAAUUCCUAGUGUAGCGGUGAAAUGCGUAGAGAUUAGGAAGAACACCAGUGGCGAAGGCGACUCUCUGGACUGUAACUGACACUGAGGCUCGAAAGCGUGGGGAGCAAACAG
rnacentral:rRNA from 1 species